GAUGAACGCUGGCGGCGUGCCUAAUACAUGCAAGUCGAGCGAAGCGGGGACGUGUGAGUAACACGUGGAUAACCUCUUAUAAUACUUGGAUAACUUCGGGACACCGUAUCUACACCGGCUACUUAUAUAUGGAUCCGCGCUGCAUUAGCUAGUUGGUAAGGUAACGGCUUACCAAGGCAACUAUGGAUAGCCGAUCUGAGAGGGUGAUCGGCCACACUGGAACUGAGACACGGUCCAGACUCCUACGGGAGGCAGCAGUAGUGAAUCUUCCGCAAUGGGCGAAAGCCUGACGGAGCAACGCCGCGUGAGUGAUGAAGGUCUUCGGAUCGUAAAACGCUGUUAUUAGGGAAGCGGUACCUAACCAGAAAGCAACGGCUAACUACGUGCCAGCAGCCGCGGUAAUUC
rnacentral:rRNA from 1 species